GAACGCUGGCGGCGUGCCUAAUACAUGCAAGUCGAGCGAACAGACGAGGAGCUUGCUCUCUGACGUUAGCGGCGGACGGGUGAGUAACACGUGGAUAACCUACCUAUAAGACUGGGAUAACUUCGGGAAACCGGAGCUAAUACCGGAUAAUAUAUUGAACCGCAUGGUUCAAUAGUGAAAGACGGUUUUGCUGUCACUUAUAGAUGGAUCCGCGCCGCAUUAGCUAGUUGGUAAGGUAACGGCUUACCAAGGCGACGAUGCGUAGCCGACCUGAGAGGGUGAUCGGCCACACUGGAACUGAGACACGGUCCAGACUCCUACGGGAGGCAGCAGUAGGGAAUCUUCCGCAAUGGGCGAAAGCCUGACGGAGCAACGCCGCGUGAGUGAUGAAGGUCUUCGGAUCGUAAAACUCUGUUAUUAGGGAAGAACAAAUGUGUAAGUAACUAUGCACGUCUUGACGGUACCUAAUCAGAAAGCCACGGCUAACUACGUG
rnacentral:rRNA from 1 species